rnacentral:rRNA from 1 species
UCAGUAAGCAGAGGAACCGCAUCAAACUUGGAUUUUGUAAGUAAUUGCGAAUGAAUGCAAACCAUGUCUACCUCUGUAAUUGUUGCACGAUGUGUGUAAUGAAUUGUAUGACCAUGGCAUGCUACUACCAAAAAAAAAGCAAAUGUAAAUGCAUUUUUGAAACAAAAGCAGCAUGGAAUGUGAGAGUCGUGCUUGUUUGCAAACCUUGUGUACAGUGUAUGUCUUGAAAAUCACAUUCCUUGCCAUUGGAAUGCUAACAAGCAUGGUAGUGUUCAUGAAGAAGCACAUGCUUUUGAGAUUCAUGAUGCGCAAGUACCAUGAGGGAAAUGUGAAAAGGACUUUGAAAAGACAGUUAAACAGAGCCCACAAUUGCUAACCAAUGUGUGCAAGUGAAACUCAAUAUGACAAUGUCAAAUAUGUGAUUAGGAUUCCGUUUGUGAAUGAUGACACUGCUACCAACCAAUAUUGCUGCAGCCUUGAAUAUACCUUCAAUGUGUGUGCACUUCUCUUGUGUUGGACAUGCCUGUAUGUUUGCAAGCUUGUUGCAGUAUACAAGUCUCAUUGUGUGUAGCAUGAACAUUAACACUACUCUCAAGCACUUGUUGUGUUUGAAAUGGUUUGAACAUCAUGAGCUUUUGUUGAUGAGUGUUUUCACUUGACCCGUCUUGAAACACGGACCAAGGAGUGCUAGCAUAGUGGUGGCAACCGACAUGCAAUUAACAUAAUGGCAUUGACAUGCAUAAUGCUUAUCAAAUGCUGAUAUCAUGUGUUUGAAUGUGAGCACCAUUGCUAGGACCCGAAAGAUGGUGCACUAUGCUUGCAUAAAACAAAGUCAGAGGAAACUCUGAUGGAAGUUUGUAUCGGUACUGACGUGCAAAUCGUUCGUCAUAAGUUGGCAUAGGGGCGAAAGACUAAUCGAACCAUCUAGUAGCUGGCUCCCCUUGCAGUUUCCCUCAGGAUAGUUGAGAUGUUCAAAGUUGUAUUAAUUAAAGCAAAUGUUUACAGGAAUUAGGGGCUUGCUUGCCCUUGACCUUUUCUCAAACUUUUAAUGUGUACACAGAAUAUACCUUAGUGUAUUAUUAUCAAUAAGCAAUCCAAAUGGGCCAUUUUUUGGUAAGCAGAACUGGCGAUGAGGGAUGAACCUAAUGUUGGGCACACAUGCUGAAAUACAUGCCUUUGUGAUACCAAAAAGGGUGUUGGCUCAUUUCCACAGCAGGACGGUGGUCAUGGAAGUUGAAACCCGCUAAGGAGUGU